AUACGGAGGGUGCGAGCGUUAAUCGGAAUUACGGGGCGUAAAGCGUGCGUAGGCGGAUUAUUAAGCAAGAUGUGAAAGCCCAGGGCUCAACCUUGGAACUGCAUUUUGAACUGGUAGUCUAGAGUACUGUAGAGGGUGGUGGAAUUUCCAGUGUAGCGGUGAAAUGCGUAGAGAUUGGAAGGAACAUCAGUGGCGAAGGCGGCCACCUGGACAGAUACUGACGCUGAGGCACGAAAGCGUGGGGAGCGAACAGGAUUAGAUACCCUAGUAGUCC
rnacentral:rRNA from 1 species